CUAAAUGUCACCUAUGAUGGAUAAAUGUUGAUCUGAAACAAAAUGAUUUUAGAUUCAACUCUUCGUCACUACCACUGAGGUGAUGACAGG
ensembl:snoRNA